UACGAAGGGGGCUAGCGUUGCUCGGAAUCACUGGGCGUAAAGCGCACGUAGGCGGAUAUUUAAGUCGGGGGUGAAAUCCCGGGGCUCAACCCCGGAACUGCCUUCGAUACUGCGGGUCUCGAGUCCGGGAGAGGUGAGUGGAAUUCCUAGUGUAGAGGUGAAAUUCGUAGAUAUUAGGAAGAACACCAGUGGCGAAGGCGGCUCACUGGCCCGGUACUGACGCUGAGGCGCGAAAGCGUGGGGAGCAAACAGGG
rnacentral:rRNA from 1 species